AGGACGAACGCUGGCGGCGUGCUUAACACAUGCAAGUCGAGCGGUAAGGCCCUUUCGGGGGUACACGAGCGGCGAACGGGUGAGUAACACGUGAGCAAUCUGCCCUUCACUUCGGGAUAAGCCUCGGAAACGGGGUCUAAUACCGGAUAUGACUGCGCCAUGCAUGUGGUGUGGUGGAAAGUUCUGGCGGUGAGGGAUGAGCUCGCGGCCUAUCAGCUUGGUUGGUGGGUAAUGGCCUACCAGGCUUCGGACGGGUA
rnacentral:rRNA from 1 species